GUGGGGAAUCUUGCGCAAUGGGCGAAAGCCUGACGCAGCCAUGCCGCGUGAAUGAUGAAGGUCUUAGGAUUGUAAAAUUCUUUCACCGGGGACGAUAAUGACGGUACCCGGAGAAGAAGCUCCGGCUAACUUCGUGCCAGCAGCCGCGGUAAUACGAAGGGGGCUAGCGUUGCUCGGAAUUACUGGGCGUAAAGGGCGCGUAGGCGGACAGCUUAGUCAGAGGUGAAAGCCCAGGGCUCAACCUUGGAAUUGCCUUUGAUACUGGCUGUCUUGAGUUUGGGAGAGGUGAGUGGAACUCCGAGUGUAGAGGUGAAAUUCGUAGAUAUUCGGAAGAACACCAGUGGCGAAGGCGGCUCACUGGACCAGAAUUGACGCUGAGGUGCGAAAGCGUGGGGAGCAAACAGGAUUAGAUACCCGGGUAGUCC
rnacentral:rRNA from 1 species